GUCAUGCAAAUGCGACAUUCCCAGGUAGUGUCGCCGACCCCAUUCAUUUAUUAUUGCGCAAGCGGAACGUAUUAUAAAACCCCUGACAAUGAAAUACGUGAUAGAAAAGCAGGAAGUAAAACUACAACAUAACACUUUCAUGAUUCAACAAAAUUACAAACAGAGGUCUAUGGCCAAAAGUCUACAAAAGACUGGCUCUUAAAAAUGAACUGUCCUACGACCUACAAGUCGGACACGCUCUCCAAUCUUAUGACUUCACCUCUGCAACUCCUCAAGGCCAACCAAAGCUAUCUGGCCACUCCGUCCACCGGGGACCUGAAAUUUUAAUCCCACAAUUGGGAUGAGACGAUAUCUCAGCAAGUUCAACCCCCUAAACCCCUAUUAGAAAGAAAAUAUGCCCAAGGGUGGCCUAGCCACAUCACACAGAGAACUUACCUCGCCUCAAUUCCUUCUUGCAGGUUAGCACAAUUUGUAUCACACAACCUUAGGUAGUAAUAAUAAUUCAAACAAUUGGAACGUCAUCACUUUCAUAUAAAUCAUGAUCGCACUUAGCACGCAUUCCAAUUAUUAUUCACUGCCACACAAGGGCAUAGCCUACUCGCAGGUCGGCUAUCUACUAACAUUACGGCAUUUCUAGAAGAAUAAAAGUCCAGUCGGUCCCGCCAUUACUGUGACCAAGCCACGUCAUUCUAUCGACAGCAUUUCUAUAAGAAAAAGGUCCAGUCGGUUCCGCCACUACUACGACCAAGCCACAUCAUUCUAUCGACGGCAUUUCUAGAAGAAUAAAGGUCCAUUCGGUUCCGCCACUACUGCGACCAAGCCACGUCAUUCUAUCGACGGCAUUUCUAGAAGAACGAAGGUCCAGUCGGUCCCGCCACUACUGUGACCAAACCACGUCAUUCUAUCGACGGCAUUUCUAGAAGAAUUAAGGUCCAGUCGGUCCCGCCACUACUGCAACCAAGCCACGUCAUUCUAUCGACGGCAUUUCUAAAAGAAUAAAGGUCCAGUCGCUCCCGCCACUACUGCGAUGAAACCAUGUCAUUCUAUCGACGGCAUUUCUAGAAGAACAAAGGUUCAGUCGGCCUAGCCACUACUGUGACCCGAGCCAUGUCACUCUCUUGACGGCAUUUCUAGCAGAAUAAGGAUCCAGUCAGCCUAGCCACUACUGUGACCCGAGCCACGCCACUCUCUUGACGGCAUUUCUAGCAGAAUAAGGAUCCAGUCGGCCUAGUCACUACUGCGACCCGAGUCUUUCAACUAGCACACGACAAUUCGAUACCGAUCCCUGGAUACUUUACAUUUCACUCACAUAAUCCAAUUACGAUAUUAACCAUUAACAAUCCAAUUUCAAUGCCAAACUCGACACUUGGGAUUUUCUAAAUAAAAUCCAUACUUUUCACAAUCCACACUCAAUUUAUAAUAUCCAAUCAUCAAUUUCAAAAUCUGACUACACAGAAGCCACCGGCACGAAAUUAUGAGAAUUUAGGGUCUUGACAAAAUUUUCGGAAUUUAAUAAUUAAUUAAAUUUAUUCCGAAAAUAAUUAAAUAAUAAUAUUUCAAUAAUUUCGAAUAAUAUAAUAUUAUUAAAUUAUUAAACAAUUUCGAAAUAUUUAAAUAAAUCAAAAGUAAAUUCCUUUAUGUCACAUCACAGUUUAUAUUAAUAUAACCACUCACUUAACCUUAAAUUAAACACAAUUUAAGUUAAUCAAACACCUUAAUAUAAUCUACACUUAAAUAAAUUAAACUAAUAACCUAAUAACACUUAACAUAAACUAAGCACCCAUAAAGCAUAAUUAACCAUCUAAUUAAGGUUUAGUGAGUUAAACUUACCGGAUUAGCGAGCCGAGCAAACCAAAACGACGAGGACGACGCGAGGAUCAACUUUCCUCAAGGCAGGCCGAGCAUCCGGGCUCGGGAAGGCGGCCGAAACGGGCCAAGAAGGGGCUGAGAAACCCAUUUUCUGCAGCUGCUGUCCACUGCUGGUUGAGGCCGCAAAUGGGCGGAUCCGGGGCUUGGAUGAGAUGGAAAAGGACCGGGGGAGGUUGAGGGGUCGAACCGGACCAAGGCGGGACCCAAACGGUGGCCGGAGGUGGCUAAACGGCUUCGGCACGGGCUGAUGCAGCAGCUGCGACGCGAGGGCAGGCGAGCGGGAGGCGGAGACGGCGCGACGGCGGGCCGGCGAGCGCGCGCGGGCG
rnacentral:lncRNA from 1 species